rnacentral:rRNA from 1 species
UACGAGGGGGGCGAGCGUUGUUCGGAAUUACUGGGCGUAAAGCGUGCGCAGGCGGUUUUGUAAGCCAGAUGUGAAAUCCCCGGGCUUAACCUGGGAAUGGCAUUUGGGACUGCAAGGCUUGAGUGCGGCAGAGGAGACUGGAAUUCCUGGUGUAGCAGUGAAAUGCGUAGAUAUCAGGAGGAACACCGAUGGCGAAGGCAGGUCUCUGGGCUGACACUGACGCUCAUGCACGAAGCG